rnacentral:rRNA from 1 species
UAUUAAGCGGAGGAAAAGAAACUAACCAGGAUUUCCUCAGUAGCGGCGAGCGAACAGGAAAGAGCCCAGCACCGAAUCCCGCGGUUCCGCCGCAGGGAAAUGUGGUGUUCGGGAGGAUCCGCUUAUCCCGAGGCGUCGGAUCGCGUCCAAGUCCAUCUUGAAUGGGGCCACUUACCCGCAGAGGGUGCCAGGCCCGUAGCGACCGGUACGCGCCUCGGGAGGAUCUCUCCUUAGAGUCGGGUUGCUUGAGAGUGCAGCUCUAAGUGGGUGGUAAACUCCAUCUAAGGCUAAAUACGACCACGAGACCGAUAGCGAACAAGUACCGUGAGGGAAAGUUGAAAAGAACUUUGAAGAGAGAGUUCAAGAGUACGUGAAACCGUUCAGGGGUAAACCUAAGAAACCCAAAAGAUCGAACGGGGAGAUUCAUCGUCAGCGGCGUUGGCUUCGCGUCGGUGGGCGAUGUCCCGCGCGCGGGUUCGCUCUCGCGCGCGGGCACGCUGCCGUGCGCGCACGUCCGACGUCGUCGUCGUGCACUUCUCCCCUAGUAGGACGUCGCGACCCGCUGGGUGUCGGUCUACGGUCCGAGUGCGGUGUCUGUCGCGUCGCCGGUAAAACGGCACGCGGCAAACCCUCGGUCGCCCGGCCGGCUGCCCGGCGGUACUCGCACGGUAUCAGGCCGCAAAAUUUCGAGCACUCCUCGAAACGCUUUGCGUCAAGCCCGUCGCAAGCGCGCGCCACGGUAAACCGGAGGUUACGGACCCAGCGCCGUCCCCGGUCCUGGCCCGCUGUUGGCCGACGGUGACCCUUUGACAGGCCUUGAACCGGGGGCGCGGCGCGCCUCGCGCGCGCCGCGCUCUCGAUACCGGUCGGCGACGCUACUGCUUUGGGUACUCUUAGGACCCGUCUUGAAACCCGCCCAAGGAGUCUAACAUGUGCGCGAGUCAUUGGGACUAGCAAAACCUAAAGGCGAAAUGAAAGUGAAGGUCGGCCUCGGCGCCGACCGAGGGAAGAUGGGCCGCGUCGCGAUGCGGCCUCGCACUCCCGGGGCGUCUCGUUCUCAUCGCGAGAAGAGGCGCACCAAGAGCGUACACGUUGGGACCCGAAAGAUGGUGAACUAUGCCUGGUCAGGACGAAGUCAGGGGAAACCCUGAUGGAGGUCCGUAGCGAUUCUGACGUGCAAAUCGAUCGUCGGAACUGGGUAUAGGGGCGAAAGACUAAUCGAACCAUC